rnacentral:rRNA from 1 species
CGUAGGUGGCAAGCGUUGUCCGGAAUUAUUGGGCGUUAAAGCGCGCGCAGGCGGCUUCUUAAGUCCAUCUUAAAAGUGCGGGGCUUAACCCCGUGAUGGGAUGGAAACUGAGAGGCUGGAGUAUCGGAGAGGAAAGUGGAAUUCCUAGUGUAGCGGUGAAAUGCGUAGAGAUUAGGAAGAACACCGGUGGCGAAGGCGACUUUCUGGACGACAACUGACGCUGAGGCGCGAAAGCGUGGGGAGCAAACAGGGAUUAGAUA